UACAACUUACAGACCACAAUGGAUCUACAAAUACACAAAACAUUUAAUAACAGGCAGAAUAUUGGUAAAAUUACAUGUAAUUCUCUCACAUUUCAGGUUCAUGUUUGUUUAGAUUAUUAACAUUUUGUUUGAAAGAAUCAUUUCUAAAUAACAUUUAUUAUGUAAUUUUACUUUUCACAUUAAAACAGAGAAAAAUGCGGAGUUAUAGCUUAUUGUGAAACUAUUUUACUGGUCUGAUCCACUUUAGAUCAUAUUGAACUGUAUGUGGAACCUGAAGUAAAGGGAUUUUAACACCACUGAUUGUUAAUAUCUUCAGUGUAAAUUUUGCAUUUCAAAAUUUCUUCCCAUGGGCCUGAUUGGACCCUUUGGUGGGCUGGUUUUUGCAGACGGGCUGUGUUUGGCACCUGUGCACUAAUGUGUCACAGCACCAAAAUCACAUAAUUAAAGCUGUAGACCAUGACCAUGAUGUGUGAUAGAAGAAGAAUAUUUUAUCAAGGGAGUCUUGUGGAUUUGAUGAGGUCAUAGAUGGGUCUAAAAGCUUCAGUUCCUCAUCAGAAAGGGUUGUCUGAUACAAAGUAAAGUGGGUAAAGUAUUUUAAAGGUCACACAGUUCUAUAAGUGGUAGAAGGGUUCUUGAUAAAUACACAGCAGUUGUUUUUUUGGCUUCUGUGGUCGUAUUCCUGCGUGCAUCUCCACACUGGGUCUAUACUGACCUCUAUCCACUGCUGAUAAUACACAGUCAUAUGGAUCAGUACUUGAUCUUCAUACGUUUUUGACUAUUGCCAUGUUGUAAAAGUUCUAAUGGAUAUUGAAAUGUUGCCCAGAGAGGAUUAGAUGGAUUUGAAUUGAUGGUAAAAUGUGCUGCUCUCUGGUGAUGAACACAGUGAGUCUGUUGGCUGAGGCAACUUUGAAGCUUGUUCCAGACUUUAGAAAUAAGUGAUUCAGAAAAUAGUCUCAACAAAAAGUCAGGAUUUAAUGACAAUUCAAUAACAUUGUUUGUAUAACAGGAAAAAACUCACAGCUGGUUAAUCCUGGAAAAAAUGGACACAUUUGUUGAGUUAAUUCUUGUCUUUAUUAGACACUAGAUUGUUGUUGAACUGAAAACAUCAAAGUAAUUAAAACCUAAAUUCAUUCAUCUGGAUCUGAACAUCAAGCUGCAACAGUUGAGGCAGUUGUACAGGCAAUUUUUUUUAGCAAUUGUUUUCCAAAAAGUCAUUAAUUUGAGAUUCCUGAUCUUAGCCAAAAACCACUGCUAGAGCCAAGUUGUGUUGAUAGUGAGUUUAUAAAACCUCCUAUCAGAUCAGAUGGCUCAGUCCAUGUCUGUCUUAAAGUCUUCAAAGAAGUUGUUCUUGGGCUUUUUGUAACUGUAAAUGUCUUUAACUUCUUCUUCUCCCAGAACAUUGACGUCUUCUCCUCCCCAUCAGCUCUCAAUCUACAGUUCUACGUUUGUUCUUGAACUUAACAUGAUAACAAAAAAAAAAAACCAUCUGACAAAUACUAAAUAGACCUGGUGCUGAGACUAUCUUCUGAAAU